rnacentral:rRNA from 1 species
AGCGAACGCUGGCGGCAGGCCUAACACAUGCAAGUCGAACGAAGUCUUCGGACUUAGUGGCGGACGGGUGAGUAACACGUGGGAACGUACCUUUUGGUUCGGAACAACUCAGGGAAACUUGAGCUAAUACCGGAUGAGCCCUUAGGGGGAAAGAUCUAUCGCCGAAAGAGCGGCCCGCGUUAGAUUAGCUAGUUGGUGAGGUAAAGGCUCACCAAGGCUACGAUCUAUAGCUGGUCUGAGAGGAUGAUCAGCCACACUGGGACUGAGACACGGCCCAGGCUCCUACGGGAGGCAGCAGUGGGGAAUCUUGCGCAAUGGGCGAAAGCCUGACGCAGCCAUGCCGCGUGAAUGAUGAAGGUCUUAGGAUUGUAAAAUUCUUUUACCAGGGACGAUAAUGACGGUACCUGGAGAAAAAGCCCCGGCUAACUUCGUGCCAGCAGCCGCCGUAAAAC